ensembl:lncRNA
UGCCCUCUUGAGCUCGCUGAGGCGCUGCGAGAGCCUGGGGAGCUGCGUUGUCAGCCCGUCUGGGGGCUUCGCAAUGGUUUUCCCCUCCUCGGGGCUGAUCUGGGCCUUGUCAGUGCGAAUGGGGCUGUUUAACAGUGCCGUGUAGAUGUGCUUCAUUUUGUACAGGUCUGGAGGCGGGAUCCGCAUCUCCAGACGGCUCCUCUUAAAUCUGAGUGAAGUCUGAAAAUAAGCACUUCCAGAUCGCAUCUGUGUGGAAUUUUCAAAGAAAGCACGGCCGAACAGGUGACACCUCCUUACAGGCAGUCUCCAUCACUUUUGCCAUCAGCAUCAGGUUUGAUGUCCGUCGUAAUUUAAGAAGACACGUGAGGGAUGAAGUAGAAAUGUGGGGAGGGAAAAAAAAGAAAGCAUACUUUCGAAAGGGAAAAAGAAGGAAAGGAUGGCAGUGGUGGCAAAGGGUGCCUGCAGCCAUCUGCUGCGCUGCUUCUCCUCGUCCCCUGCCCUGUGUUCUCCCAUGCCACCUCUCUGAGCCUCUCUGUGGCACUUAUCACCACGAUCUAAACAUAUUUAGUCUGUGUUUGCAGCACUGCGUGAUUUCCGUCAUUUACUUCUUCCCACUUCAAGCUCCAGAGGUAUAGGAAAUCAGAUGGCUUGGCUUGUAAAUAACCUUGUCGGAGGUGUUUACAGUCAUAUAUUAGCAGAUCUGAAUCUGGAAUGAAAGAAUUUAUGGCCAAUGCCCUCUUUUAAGUUGUAUUUCUGUUUAUCUGAUCCUCACUUAUAAAUGCCUCUAAUUAAGCUAUAAACUCUUCGUUUCUACUUAACCAUCUGGGUAGCCUGGGAAGCUUGAGACAGAAAUGUAAUUUACCCACACCACAGCCACGUCUGCAAUGCAAAUCCAGCACAACUGCUUCCCGAGGGUUACAGCCUGCUCCAAUUUCCACUACACGGACAGAAAUAAAGCUUGUCCGAACUACCAGUGUAGGUCCUCACUGGGAAUGACAGGACACUGUUUGUUCAGGAAUGAAAAUGCACCUGGAACCCUGCGAACAGUGGGAGAUAGCAUUCUCAGUUGGAUUUUAGGGAAGAUUUCUUCUCAGAAAGAGCAGUGAGGUGUUGGAAUGAGCUGCCCAGGGACUGGGUGGCAUCACCAUCCCGGGAGGUGUCCAAGAACCAUGGAGAUGUGGCACCAAGGGACAUGGUACAGGAUCCUGUGACCUGGAGAUGUUGGAUCCAGCCACAACAGGAGAUGCAGAUCAGAUUGUGCUGUCUUGUUACCAAAGCAUUCCAAGUAUGGGGCCAUCGACAGUGCCUGUCCCUGGAGAUGGAGAGCGAGAUGCUGAGAUGGAACAACCUUCUGUUGUCCCUGCUUGGAGAGAUGGAACAGCUUUGGAAGCAUAUGCCCGAUCCCACGUGCACUGAGACAUUUGAUUAUUAGCUGUUCAUACGACCAACUCAGAUUUGUAAGCAGUACGUGGAAAAGAUUUCAUAGAAGGCAAUGGCUAUUAUUUUGAAUAAAUACCACUGAUGCUGUUAUUAAAUUUGAUUCACUUAAAAUUUACACUUUGAGAAGCUGGAGUGCUAGAAGCUAAGGGUAAUAAUAUUUCACACCAUUUGUCCUUCUUCUCUGUCAUGGCACAUGCGUAGGCCAACCCCUAGCUCAAACAGCUUUUGUUUCACUGUGUUACUGUCCUAACAUGAUUUAAACAGAGGUCAUUAUUUAACUGCGCAGGAGAUCUUAAUCUUUCACUUAAAUGUAAAUUGCCAAG